UGGGGAAUAUUGCACAAUGGGGGAAACCCUGAUGCAGCGACGCCGCGUGAGCGAAGAAGUAUUUCGGUAUGUAAAGCUCUAUCAGCAGGGAAGAAAAUGACGGUACCUGACUAAGAAGCACCGGCUAAAUACGUGCCAGCAGCCGCGGUAAUACGUAUGGUGCAAGCGUUAUCCGGAUUUACUGGGUGUAAAGGGAGCGUAGACGGCUGUGUAAGUCUGAAGUGAAAGCCCGGGGCUCAACCCCGGGACUGCUUUGGAAACUGUAGGACUAGAGUGCAGGAGAGGUAAGUGGAAUUCCUAGUGUAGCGGUGAAAUGCGUAGAUAUUAGGAGGAACACCAGUGGCGAAGGCGGCUUACUGGACUGUAACUGACGUUGAGGCUCGAAAGCGU
rnacentral:rRNA from 1 species